AUGCAACUCUUGGUGAGGGUACCGUCUCUGCCAGAACGGGGCGAACUGGACUGCAGUAUCUGCUACCGGCCCUUCAACCUCGGAGACCGCGCACCCCGCCGUCUGCCCGGCACGGCGCGCGCCCGCUGCGGCCACACGCUCUGCACCGCUUGCUUGCGCCAGCUCGCCGCGCGCGGGGACGGCGCCGGGGCGGCCGCGCGCGUGGUGCGCCUGCGCCGCGUCGUCACGUGUCCCUUCUGCCGCGCGCCCUCCGCGCUCCCGCGUGGCGGCGUCACCGAGGUAGCCGUCGACCCCGACUUGUGGUCGCGAUUGGAAGACAAAGAGCGGGCCCCGGGUGAACGAGAAAUGGCGGGGAGUCCGGUCAAGGAGCGCGGCGACGCCGUCCCGGAGGCCGAUCACGAGGAAGAGGAGAACGAGGAGGGGGCGGGGCCUCGGAGCGCGGGCUGGCGCGCGCUCCGGCGUCUCUGGGACAGGGUCUUGGCGCCUGCGCGCCGCUGGCGGCGUCCGCUGCCUAGCAACGUGCUGUACUGUCCGGAGAUUAAGGACAUUGGCCACCUGACCCGCUGCACUCUGUAACGUAGGGACUCGGCAGGUACAGAAGAAGCGAGGCGGCAGCUGCCUUCUCCAGCGAGCUCUCUGCAGCCUUGGGAGCCCUUAUCCAGACUACGCAGUCUGUGAUGCGGGAGUGGCGACUGGGGGCGGGGGAGCCUGGCAAGUGUGAUGCCCUCGCCCGCGCCAGCCCAUUUGCCCAGCAUAGUGUGGCUUGACGAUGGCGUGUAAACAAAGCCCACAUUGCCGUGGGAAGGAAGCAGCCAGACUGUUUUCUGAGCUGUGGCUUUGGCUGUGGUCCAGGCCCGCGCUGGUGUGUGGCAGCAACAGGUCCCGGUUUAGCAGUUGUCAGUGGUUUGCAAUGUUCCAAAUGAGGGGGCAGCAGAGCUGGACGCAGAUGUUGGUGUCGUAGUUGUCUUCCUGGGGCCUGGAAGGAUGCUGGUAGGCUUUCUUCACUCCUGUGUUCCUGAAGCUGCUGAGACGCCUCCCUGGUUUGCUCCAUCUCAGAAACUACUUAAGGCACCUAAUUAGGGCUGACCAAGAUGAAG